rnacentral:rRNA from 1 species
CUACGGGCUGCAGCAGUGGGGAAUAUUGGACAAUGGGCGCAAGCCUGAUCCAGCAAUGCCGCGUGAGUGAAGACGGCCUUAGGGUUGUAAAACUCUUUCGCUAGGGAAGAUAAUGACUGUACCUAGUAAAGAAGUCCCGGCUAACUCCGUGCCAGCAGCCGCGGUAAUACGGAGGGGACUAGCGUUGUUCGGAAUUACUGGGCGUAAAGAGUUCGUAGGCGGACUGACAAGUUAGAGGUGAAAUCCCAGGGCCCAACCCUGGAACUGCCUUUAAAACUGUCAGUCUAGAGACCGGAAGAGGUUAGGGGAAUACCUAGUGUAGAGGUGAAAUUCGUAGAUAUUAGGUGGAACACCAGUGGCGAAGGCGCCUAACUGGUCCGGUACUGACGCUGAGGAACGAGAGCGUGGGGAGCAAACAGGAUUAGAUACCCGCGUAGUC